AACACGACACAUGGAAUUGUAUCCUCAUUAUUAUAAAGAAGAUGAAGAGAGGAGGACAAAAAUUAUACGUUAUUACCAGUAACAAAUGGCGACUCCGCUGGGGACGUUUCAAUUCUGUUCUGGCGAUCGCGUCGUUAAGAGUUCUUUCUACUUCUAACCUUCCUCGCGAUAUCUUCUUCUAUCCUUCCGUUCUUUUCUUUAACUCUCCAAGCGCAUAAGAAUAGAUCAUGCGUAGUAACCACGCUCCAACAAUCGUAUAAAAGUCGUAAUUAAGAGUGACCACGCUCCAACAAUCCCAACUUAUUUAUUUUAAAUAUAUGGUAUUGAGUCUGUAAUUUAUUUUAUUAGGAACUUGUAUUAAGAGUAAAUUGGAAACUGAGGUCUAUGGUGGGAUGAGAUUCAACUAAAAAUAGAACUCUGUCUCACCAAAAACUUUGAAGGUAACAAUUGGUAAAUGGAAUGACCUAAAAAGUCAUAUCUACAUAGAACCCCACGUGUCUCACCAAAAGCCGAUUCGUCGAACUUUUCUGUCAGGUCCUCCUUGAAUUUCUACCAUGUCGCCAAUAAAUUAUUCCGACGAAGCCCCCUUAUCCAUGCUAAGACUGCCUUCGUCAUGUGGAACCUCGCGAUCUGGAGUUUGGCGUCCUUUCCAAUCCCAUGGAAAAUGAAGUACUCUUCCGCUUGAUACAACCAUCCCUAGAGAUCGUCCCCCGAGAAGCAUGGCAGAUCGAGUUUAAUCUCUCGUGUAGCUCUGGAUCCAAACGACUCCUCGGUUCUCCAGCCUUGUCUGUUUCCGUUGUGUCUAAACAGUUGCUUUAGCUCGCCCCAUUCCGACGAAAUUGCCAAGCCCUGACGCCGCGUGACCUAGUGGCCUGGAUUUUUGUUCCACCAUGAUCGACGUCAACAAUUUUUUUUUUUUUUUUUUUUGUCUAUUGCGAAUCACAUCUCUAG
rnacentral:lncRNA from 1 species